GAGAAGUUAGUAAAUCCAUUACAUGGCCUUGUCAAGGCCAAAUCACAGGCUAAAUCCCUGUACAUCUCA
rnacentral:tRNA from 1 species